AGUUAGCGGCGUAGGGUACAGAGGUAAGAUGUUCUAUCUUUCAGACCUUUUAUUUCACGUAAUUGAAUGUGGCUGAAUAGCGGCCCCGCAGAGUCUCUGUGGGGCGUUUUUUU
rfam:Aeromonas diversa 2478-85 Contig 29, whole genome shotgun sequence.